rnacentral:rRNA from 1 species
GUGUGUCUACNAAUAGUUAGACACAGUCUGUGAUGUCUUAGAUGAACUAGGCUGCCCGCACACUGAUAUGUCACGAGUUAUUAGAAAUCUGCAUCUGUUAUUUGUCCUUAUUCAGGCUUUUAGCAUUAUAGCAUACUUUUCCUCCACUAAAAGUGUAGGUAAUCUUUUUCAGUACAUAUCGUGAUGGGGAUAGAUUAUUGCAAUAUUUAAUCUUGAAC